rnacentral:rRNA from 1 species
UUGGCUCAGAACGAACGCUGGCGGCAGGCCUAACACAUGCAAGUCGAGCGGAUGACGGGAGCUUGCUCCUUGAUUCAGCGGCGGACGGGUGAGUAAUGCCUAGGAAUCUGCCUGGUAGUGGGGGACAACGUUUCGAAAGGAACGCUAAUACCGCAUACGUCCUACGGGAGAAAGCAGGGGACCUUCGGGCCUUGCGCUAUCAGAUGAGCCUAGGUCGGAUUAGCUUGUUGGUGAGGUAAUGGCUCACCAAGGCGACGAUCCGUAACUGGUCUGAGAGGAUGAUCAGUCACACUGGAACUGAGACACGGUCCAGACUCCUACGGGAGGCAGCAGUGGGA